ACGGAAGGCAGCCGUGAGGAAUAUUGGUCAAUGGGCGCAAGCCUGAACCAGCCAAGUAGCGUGAGGGAUGACUGCCCUACGGGUUGUAAACCUCUUUUGUUUGGGAAUAAAGGAGCCUACGCGUAGGCUUUUGCAUGUACCUUUCGAAUAAGCAUCGGCUAAUUCCGUGCCAGCAGCCGCGGUAAUACGGAAGAUGCGAGCGUUAUCCGGAUUUAUUGGGUUUAAAGGGAGCGUAGGCGGCCGGUUAAGUCUGCGGUCAAAUGGCAGGGCCCAACCUUGGCAUGCCGUGGAUACUGUCCGGCUUGAGUGCACACAAGGAAGGUGGAAUUCGUCGUGUAGCGGUGAAAUGCUUAGAUAUGACGAAGAACUCCGAUUGCGAAGGCAGCCUUCUGGGGUGUUACUGACGCUGAGGCUCGAAGGUGCGGGUAUCGAACAGGAUUAGAUACCCUGGUA
rnacentral:rRNA from 1 species